CGGAGGGUGCAAGCGAUAUCCGGAUUCACUGGGUUUAAAGGGUGCGUAGGCGGAUAGGUAAGUCCGUGGUGAAAUCCUGCAGCUUAACUGCAGAACUGCCAUGGAUACUAUCUAUCUUGAAUGUCGUGGAGGUUAGCGGAAUAUGUCAUGUAGCGGUGAAAUGCUUAGAUAUGACAUAGAACACCCAUUGCGAAGGCAGCUAACUACGCGAUAAUUGACGCUGAUGCACGAAAGCGUGGGGAUCAAACAGGAUUAGAUACCCUGGUAGUCCACGCCCUAAACGAUGAUUACUCGACAUUGGCGAUACACAGUCAGUGUCUGAGCGAAAGCAUUAAGUAAUCCACCUGGGAAGUACGAUCGCAAGAUUG
rnacentral:rRNA from 1 species